CAGUGAUGCUUUCUGGGCAAAAUCAUGAUGUGUGAUCUUGAAUGUGACCUGGUUAAGUGUGUUUGCUUUCAUAUAUUGGAAAGUCGACACAUAAUUGUAGAUUUAUUUCUUCACCGUUGUCUAUAGAGUUGCCCUUUGGUGUGCGUUUGCCCCCCUUGCCUUUUUAUCGUUCCGGCGUCCCUGACCGUGUUUAUGAAAUCAUGGUGUGUUCAGUCUUGAUAGUGCGUACGUUACGCUUUUGCAUUUUGUUAGUAGCGUCUCUAAAUAAAUGGCAAUUUGUCCAAAGUCUCACAAAUUUCGUAUUUUAAGAGGAGGAUCUUUUGUAUAUUACAUUAAACGUGCUAAAAACUAAUGAAUAUGCUUUAAUUUCCACUUGGUUAAUA